UUAGUGGCGAACGGGUGAGUAACACGUGGGCAAUCUGCCCUUCACUCUGGGACAAGCCCUGGAAACGGGGUCUAAUACCGGAUAACACUCCUGCCUGCAUGGGUGGGGGUUAAAAGCUCCGGCGGUGAAGGAUGAGCCCGCGGCCUAUCAGCUUGUUGGUGAGGUAGUGGCUCACCAAGGCGACGACGGGUAGCCGGCCUGAGAGGGCGACCGGCCACACUGGGACUGAGACACGGCCCAGACUCCUACGGGAGGCAGCAGUGGGGAAUAUUGCACAAUGGGCGAAAGCCUGAUGCAGCGACGCCGCGUGAGGGAUGACGGCCUUCGGGUUGUAAACCUCUUUCAGCAGGGAAGAAGCGAAAGUGACGGUACCUGCAGAAGAAGCGCCGGCUAACUACGUGCCAGCAGCCGCGGUAAUACGUAGGGCGCAAGCGUUGUCCGGAAUUAUUGGGCGUAAAGAGCUCGUAGGCGGCUUGUCACGUCGGUUGUGAAAGCCCGGGGCUUAACCCCGGGUCUGCAGUCGAUACGGGCAGGCUAGAGUGUGGUAGGGGAGAUCGGAAUUCCUGGUGUAGCGGUGAAAUGCGCAGAUAUCAGGAGGAACACCGGUGGCGAAGGCGGAUCUCUGGGCCAUUACUGACGCUGAGGAGCGAAAGCGUGGGGAGCGAACAGGAUUAGAUACCCUGGUAGUCCACGCCGUAAACGGUGGGAACUAGGUGUUGGCGACAUUCCACGUCGUCGGUGCCGCAGCUAACGCAUUAAGUUCCCCGCCUGGGGAGUACGGCCGCAAGGCUAAAACUCAUAGGAAUUGACGGGGGCCCGCACAAGCAGCGGAGCAUGUGGCUUAAUUCGACGCAACGCGAAGAACCUUACCAAGGCUUGACAUACACCGGAGAGCAUUAGAGAUAGUGCCCCCCUUGUGGUCGGUGUACAGGUGGUGCAUGGCUGUCGU
rnacentral:rRNA from 1 species